UACGUAGGGGGCAAGCGUUGUCCGGAUUUAUUGGCGUAAAGAGCGUGUAGGCGGUCAGGUAGGUCCGUUGUGAAAACUCGAGGCUCAACCUCGAGACGCCGAUGGAAACCAUCUGACUAGAGUCCGGAAGAGGAGAGUGGAAUUCCUGGUGUAGCGGUGAAAUGCGCAGAUAUCAGGAAGAACACCCGUGGCUAAGGCGGCUCUCUAGUACGGUACUGACGCUGAGACGCGAAAGCGUGGGGAGCGAACAGG
rnacentral:rRNA from 1 species